rnacentral:ncRNA from 1 species
UGCGGUUAAAACGUUCGUAGUUGAACUUGUGCUUCAUACGAGUAGUACAACUUACAAUUGUGGUUACUACUAUACCUUUAUGUAUGUAAGCGUAUUACCGGUGGAGUUCUUAUAUAUAAUUAAGUACUUGUAUUUUUUUAUAUAUUCCUCCUAUUUUAAAACCUGCAUUAGUGCUCUUCAUCGAGUGUUAUUGUGGGCCGGUACAAUUACUUUGAACAAAUUAGAGUGCUUAAAGCAGGCUUCAAAUGCCUGAAUAUUCUGUGCAUGGGAUAAUGAAAUAAGACCUCUGUUCUGCUUUCAUUGGUUUUCAGAUCAAGAGGUAAUGAUUAAUAGAAGCAGUUUGGGGGCAUUAGUAUUACGACGCGAGAGGUGAAAUUCUUGGACCGUCGUAAGACUAACUUAAGCGAAAGCAUUUGCCAAAGAUGUUUUCAUUAAUCAAGAACGAAAGUUAGAGGUUCGAAGGCGAUCAGAUACCGCCCUAGUUCUAACCAUAAACGAUGCCAGCUAGCAAUUGGGUGUAGCUACUUUUAUGGCUCUCUCAGUCGCUUCCCGGGAAACCAAAGCUUUUGGGCUCCGGGGGAAGUAUGGUUGCAAAGCUGAAACUUAAAGGAAUUGACGGAAGGGCACCACCAGGAGUGGAGCCUGCGGCUUAAUUUGACUCAACACGGGAAAACUUACCAGGUCCGAACAUAAGUGUGUAAGACAGAUUGAUAGCUCUUUCUCGAAUCUAUGGGUGGUGGUGCAUGGCCGUUCUUAGUUCGUGGAGUGAUUUGUCUGGUUAAUUCCGAUAACGAACGAGACUCAAAUAUAUUAAAUAGAUAUCUUCAGGAUUAUGGUGUUGAAGCUUAUAUAGCCUUCAUUCAUGGUGGCAGUAAAAUGUUUAUUGUGUUUGAAUGUGUUUAUAUAAGUGGAGCGUACCUUGUUGGUUUGUCCCAUAUAGGACACUAGCUCUAAUGGACAAAUGCGUCUAGCAUAUGAGAUGAGCAUACAGUCUGUGAUGCCAUAGAUGUCUGGCUGCACGCGCGCUACAUG